CAGUGUGCAGAAGCUUUGCAGAUUUACUGGGAGGCUGCAGCACACAGGGAACUUUGUCUGCAUGGCUCAGGUUUUGGCUGUGAUGGGUCAGACAAAAGGAACUGAAAAGAUGACCAAUCGCAUUGUGUCAGAAGAGACUGGAUGCCUUGAAUGUUAUCGCCUCUUGUCAGCAAUCUACAGCAAGCAGGAGCAGCACGACAAGGUGGAGAAGGACACUGUCUGGAGCUAUUUGUGAUUCAUGGGUAGAAAAUGGUGUGCAUCUGAAAGAUUCUCCGAUUUGCACAUUCAUAAGACUGAGGAGUCUUUAAUAUCCUUAUUUGACAUAUCCUAUCUUCUAGGCACUUUUCACAGAUAACCACUUAAUUCCUUAGAUUUCUAUCUUGAAAUAAAAUUUUCUUGGCUUAUGCUUGA